UGCGUAGGUGGUUAGGUAAGACCUGUGGGAAAGACCUGGGCUUAACCCAGGAAGGUCGCAGGUGACUGCCUGGCUAGAGGGCGGGAGAGGAGCGCGGAAUUCCCGGUGUAGCGGUGAAAUGCGUAGAGAUCGGGAGGAAGGCCGGUGGCGAAGGCGGCGCUCUGGAACGUUCCUGACACUGAGGCACGAAAGCGUGGGGAGCAAACAGGAUUAGAUACCCUGGUAGUCCACGCCCUAAACGAUGGGUACUAAGUGUCGGCGGGUUACCGCCGGGUGCCGCACCUAACGGAGUAAGUACCCCCGCCUGGGGAGUACGGCCGCAAGGUUGAA
rnacentral:rRNA from 1 species